rnacentral:lncRNA from 1 species
UUUCAAAUGACCUGAAUUGUAUUCCUCACUUCCCUUGAUUUAUCCCUCAGUUGGCCCCUGCAGAAGAGCAUCAUUUUUUUUUCCUGCCCUCUGUCUUCUAUAUUUCAUUUCAGGUGUCUAUCGAGGCAACGAAAGAUAAAGCUCUCUGCUUUCCCUUGUACUAAAGUUCUAUAUGGAAUCAGUUCACCUGUCUGUCACUCCUCAUUAAAUUCUUACCCUCUUCAUUCACAUCCUGAUCUUUGAAAAUGAACAUUUGCUUAAUAAAUGUUCUCAAGACUAACAGUGCAGAGUGAAAAUCCCACACAGCAGUAAAUUAUUAACUCAGUCACAGAGGGAGUGCCAUAUAUGACUUUUCAGAAUGAGUUAUUAUGUGGAUCAUCAUGUAAUUAUGAAUUUUUCAAGCCAUGAUAGAGGAAAAUUGAAUAUUUAAUAUUUUAUGGACAUAUUCUACACUGAGGACAUCUUUCAAAAUUUUAUGAUAAUUUUUAGAGUGAGCAAAGAGCAGAACAAAAGUUACAAAAUAAUUGCAAACUUGAAUAUUUAAUCACUAGAGACAUUGUUGGUUAUUUCUCAAAUUAUAUAUUGUAACCAAGGCUGUGAACUUUUAAUCAUAGUGAAUUCAAGUGGGGAAAAAAGGGGCACUAAAAUCAAUCUAUAGAUAUGUUUUGGUUGUUUAAUAAAUAAGAACACAGAGCUUAAUGAUGUCAAAUUGAAAUCUUGGAGCAUAACUAUUCAUGUGAGAGAAAAUAUUGAGUGAUUUGUUCUGAAUAAGCUAUUGUUGAACCAAAAAACAUUUUUAAUGACCCAUUUUUAAAUAUUCAAAAUCAACACCAAGGA